rnacentral:rRNA from 1 species
AUUGAACGCUGGCGGCAGGCCUAACACAUGCAAGUCGAGUGGAUGAAGAGAGCUUGCUCUCUGAUUUAGCGGCGGACGGGUGAGUAAUGCCUAGGAAUCUGCCUGGUAGUGGGGGAUAACGUUCCGAAAGGAACGCUAAUACCGCAUACGUCCUACGGGAGAAAGCAGGGGACCUUCGGGCCUUGCGCUAUCAGAUGAGCCUAGGUCGGAUUAGAUAGUUGGUGAGGUAAUGGCUCACCACGGCUACGAUCCGUAACUGGUCUGAGAGGAGGAUCAGUCACACUGGAACUGAGACACGGUCCAGACUCCUACGGGAGGCAGCAGUGGGGAAUAUUGGACAAUGGGCGAAAGCCUGAUCCAGCCAUGCCGCGUGUGUGAAGAAGGUCUUCGGAUUGUAAAGCACUUUAAGUUGGGAGGAAGGGCAGUAAGUUAAUACCUUGCUGUUUUGACGUUACCGACAGAAUAAGCACCGGCUAACUUCGUGCCAGCCGCCGCGGUAAUAC